rnacentral:lncRNA from 1 species
GAAUCCAACUAGGAACCAUGAGGUUGUGGGUUCAAUCCCUGGCCUCGCUCAGUGGGUUAAGGAUCUGGCAUUGCCGUGAGCUGUGGUGUAGAUCAAAGACGCAGCUCAGAUCCCAAGUUGCUGUGGUUCUGGUGAAGGCCAGCAGCUGUAGUUCCAAUUCAACCCCUAGCCUGGGAACCUCCAUAUGCCACAGGUACUGCCCUAAAAAGACAGAAGACAAAAAAAAAAAAAAAAAAAAAGAAAGAAAGAAAGAAAAGAAAGAAAAGGAGGGAAGGAGGGAAGGAAGGAAAAGAAAGAGAGGAAGUUCCCAUUGUGGCUCAUCAAAAAUGAACCUAAUAUCCAUGAGGAUGCAGGUUCAAUCCCUGGCCUCACUCAGUGGGUUAAGGAUCUGGAGUCGCCAUGAGCUGUGGUGUAGCAGGUCUCAGAUGCAGCUCGGAUCCUGCGUUGCUGUGGCUGUGGUGUAGGCGGGCAGCUGAUGUUCCAAUUCAAUCCCUAGCCUGGCAACUUCCAUAUGCCAGAUGUGGCUGUAAAAAGACAAAUAGGAAAGGAAGGAAGGGGAAAAGAAGAGAGGGAAUUGGCGGGGGGUGGGAGGGAGAGGAGUGGCAAAAGGGAUGGAAGAAGGAAAUAAACCCAUAGAUUGUUUGGACAGUUUAAGAUGCUCAUUCUUUCCAACGGCAAGGAGAACUACAUGAUGCCAAGGUUUCUCAAGCUUCUAUCUAAUCUUAAAAUUAAAUUAGGUGACAAUUUAUGUUCUAAUGUUUCAAAAAAAAUUUUUGGCCAUGUUUCAAAAAAAAGAAAAACUAAAGCUUUCCCUCAUACAUUAAUAUCCAAAUGUAAACAAUUUGUCCAACAAUGUUCUAUAUAUAUAUCACUUAACACUUUAAGAAAACAAUAAAGUGGUAUAACUCUAACAUCUUUUGUUUCCACAUACUAAACAGGAUAAAUGCAUUGCUGUACAAAAACUUUCAAUCUUUAAAAAUGAAGCAAAAAUUUCACUAAGAAAAGACACCAAGUAACACUUAGUGUUAUUUUUAAACUCACAUUAGCUAUUUAUGUUUAAAGUGGUUUGUGAUUCAAUCAACUAAUGUUUACAGGACAUCAGUGAUGUGCAAUGUAUUAUCUCUGACACGGUGCGGAAUACAAAGAAACAAAAGGUAGCGUCCAUACCCCCAUAAAACAUAAAAUUAAGUUAUGUAGACAAGGCCUAAGAACUGUGUCAGGUUAAACAAAAAUGCACAAGAAUGCAAUAUAAGAACUAUCACAUGGCGGGUUACAGUUAAUUGCAAAGCGAAUGGAACAAGCUCUAAGUCCCAGGCAGUGGACACCACUAUAAGCUAGGAGAUGGUAAGGAGAUGGGGAGUCCUGAAGAGGACCUGAAAGAUGGAUAAGAGCACAGGAGAGGGAAGGCUGAGGUCUGGAAAGCACAAGGUAUAUUUGAUCAGAUGAGAUCCAGCAGAGUUUCUCAUGGGGAAGCAGUGGGUAAGGCUGGGUAAAUAUUUUGGGAUAACCCUGGCCUUGAAUUCUUCAAGGUUAAGAAGAUGCUUGCGAGAAUACCUAAAUCAGCAUUUUAGGAUCAUUGGUCUCAUCGUAAUUUAUUUAUUUUUACGCACUGCUUCUUAUGUUGCAGAUACAGUUCUAAGUGCCUUAUAAAUAUCAACUCAGUUAAUCCUCAUGGCAGCCCUUUGUGGUAGAUACUAGGAAACUAAAGCACAGAGAGGUCACAGUCACUUGCCUGUGCCCACACAGCUAGGAAGGGGUGGGGCCAGUAUCUACAGCAGCAGUCUGGCUCUAGAGUCUGUCCUGCCUGCAGCUGUGCUAGCCUGGCAAAGGACAGCCAGGAUGGAGUGGGUCUCCCAGAAGCAGAUCAGGAAUCCCCACCUGGUGGCUGAACAAUGAGUCGAGCCUUGGUGGAAAAAGAGAAGAGAUCCUUCGGAGGAACCAGGCAAAAUAUCAAUUACUUGAACUUGGGUGAGUUUGGAAGUUAAGGGGGUGGGGUUAAAGAUGAUAAGAAAGGAAAAGUCAAAGAAAUUUUUUAUUUUGAUGCUUCCCCUGGAGAAACACAGGUCUGAUUGGAUAAGAUGGGUCCAGAUGUAGACAUGAAAGGUAUGAGCACCUUGAAACAUGAGUUUGCAUCUAGCUGUGUGACUCUGAGCAAGUUACACAAUCUCUCUUGCUUCUCAUUCUUCAUCUGUAUUGGAAACAAUUUCAGUAACUGAAAUGAUGUAAAUCAAAGAUUCAGCAUAGCCUCUGACAAGAAGAAAGCUUUUCCAUUAGAUGUCCCUGAGACACUGGAGGUAUGGGGCCCAGCGGGAAUGAGUUCAUGACUAAAGAAUGUGGGUUUGGGGAUGGAGGCGAGGAAGAGCUUAAAAUCAUAAAGGAACAGAAGUGGGAUUGCCUCUGUGCUGGGCUCUUCAAAUGUGUCAUUGUGCAUCACUCUCACGACAACAACACAGUGAGGCCACUUACAAUGUGCCUUAGGAAGAUGGAGUGGAGGAAGGGGCUAGAGAUUGAGUUUGUGACUGAUCAUCCCUUGUGAUGAAGCCUCCAUAAAAAUCCCCAAAAUGUGGGGUUUGGAAUGCUUCCAGGUUGAUGAAGACAUCCACACGCCAAGAGGAGAGUGGCGUAUACCAGCCUCUGCUCUUGGGGACAGAAGCUAUGGCACUUGGGACCCUUCUGGACCUCACCCUGUGUUUCCCUCCAUCUGGCUGUUCAACUAUAUCCUUUAGAAUAUCCUUUAUUAUUCAAUAAACCAGUAAACAGGUGUGUUUCCAUGGGUUCUGUAAGUGUUCUAACAAGUGAUCUAAUCUAAGAAAGAGGUCAUGGAACCUGAUUUAUAGCCAAGUUUGAGAGAAAUUGUGGGUAAUGUGGGGUCUACUACUUGUAACUGGCAACUGAAUGGGGCUGGGGGGCAGUCUUGUGGGAUCCUUCACCUGUGGGGUCUGUGCUAACUCCGGGCAGUUCGUGUCAGAACUUCUUGGUGUGGAAAAUUCACACAUCUGGCAUCAGAAGUGUUGUGAGUGUGGUAUCAGUAUAAGAGUAAAGGAAAAACGGAGUUUUUCCAAGUCGCUACCCCAAGUGAGGGCUCUCCAAUCAACUGCACUUAGGGGACCUGACCCAAGAAAAGCCCAAUGCAGUACCCCAGACAGCCACCUGGAUGCGCGCUUUCUCUUCUUGCCAAUUCUAUUUCUAAAGCUAGGAGGGUUUCUCUUGCACCACUGAUCCAACACAAUCUCAUUCUGUACCUCAUUUAAAAUCCUGUAUCUAUACAAAAUCUCUCAGAGACAUACUCCCAUCCUGUCCCCUUAACUGAGGUGGGGUCCUGGAAUGGGCCUGGAAACAUCUAUUGCUUUUGGCCUGGGUAUUCUAAUUUGCACGCCAUUGGCUUUUAUCUCGGAAGUGGCCACCACUUCUGCCCCAGGGUUUUCCUUACCCUCUUAAACCCACACUCAGAUUCCCUGCAUGUCUCAUAGGGUAUGUUAAUUCCCUACUAGAAAACAUCCCUGGCAGAAAGGUCAGUGAGGAUCCCAGCCAAGGAGAGCAGAGUUUCAAAGAAAGAGUGAUCAGCAGUCUUAAAGGCUAUCUGAAGUCUGAGGACCGGGAAAAGACACUGACUAAGCUACUGAGAGCUAAAGAGAGCUUGCAAAGAUGCUAAGCAACAGAGGCACAAACCACAUUGUAAGGGUGAAGAACAGAGAUGCUCUAAACCAUUUUCUCUGAAACUCAUCAAUGAAGGAAGGGAAAAAUAAGGUGAGGAGGGAGUUCCUAUCAUGGCUCAGUGGUUAACAAAUCCAACUAGGAACCAUGAGGUUACAGGUUCGAUCCCUGGCCUUGCUCAGUGGGUUAGGGAUCUGGCAUUGCUGUGAGCUAUGGUGUAGGUCACAGACGCAGCUCGGAUCUGGCAUUGCUGUGGCUGUGGCGUAGGCCUGUGGUUACAGCUCCGAUUCUAUGCCACAGGAGCGGCCCUAGGAAAGACAAAAAGAGAAAAUAAUAAUAAUAAUAAUAAUAAGGUGAGGAGAAGGGGGGGAGGGGCACAUGAUCAACUGAAACUUGUUCUCAGGUAGAAAAUAACCUAGGGUUAUUUUCCAACAGAGGAUAAAGAAAGAGAAUAUGAAACCAAGGUCUAAGGUACAAUAAAAUUUCCCUCUUGUUGAUAAAAUAUUUAUAUCUCUUUGUCAUCAAGAAUUAACUUCACUUUCCAAAAGCUUUAAUGAGCAAGUAAAGUAUAUAUAAAUACAGGUACUGUUUCACUUGAAUUUUUUGGAUUUUGAAACAAUGUAUCCAUAUGCUAAUACAUGCAAAUCCUUUUAAAAUUAUAAGCUCUAUAGUUCUCUCUGACCCCUUUUGAUUAAAUUCAACUGGCAUGAAAAGCAGUAACUGAAGUAUUAAGAAUCAAUUAACAGUGAUCUGGCCGAUUGCCAUUACACCUUUAAUUAGCAGUAUUGGUUUCAGUAUCACGGGACAAUGGUCAGUGGCUAUAAAUGAAUUGAUUGCACAGCCACCAGCUGACAUUUUGAGAACCUUGAUACAUCAUCACUUUUUCCUGCUACUAAUUAAGAUUUAUAUCUUCCAGUGCAUUAAUUUUGCAAAGGCCCUUUGUGAUGGAGGCAGCGUUUUUCCACUGCCUUUGUGUCCGUGGAUCCCACUGGUUACAGCCUACACACUCUGAACACAGACUUGGCAACUCCAUCCCAGGGACUCAAUUCAAACGGGAUCCUCUGCUGAUCCAUUCAACAAACAUCUAUAAAAGGAUGACCACAUGCAAAUCUCAGGGCUAAAUGCUAGGGCAAGGGAGGAGGGGAGAGAGGAAUAAGGCAUUCACCCUGAAUUUAAGACGCUCAUCAUUUCCGGAGGAUACACACACAGUAGAUACUCACUCUGAUACAGUGGGAUGCAAAUUACAACAGGCUAGAAAUAAUGUGACUAAGGGCACAGAAAAUGAAGCAAUUAGUUCUGAUUUCCAACAAGUGACUUUUUAAAAUGCUUAUUGUCACAAAGAUUCAAAGGCUCACCCCUAAUUCAUAGAACAGAGACAGGGACUUUUAUUGGUCAAUUACAUGGCCAGUCUGGAUGUUUGUGAAGAAGCAGCUCAUCCAUCUCCAGCCAUAAUUCCCCCUCUGCUGGGAGCAGGGACUGGCCCAGCCUGGCUUGGCUUUCCACUCAUUGGUCAGAGGGUCUGCUUCUGUUCCUUCGCCCCUCCUCCAAAGCAGCCCAGUGCCAACUGUUGCCAUUUAAUGACACAAGUACUGCUAUAAUUAGAUCGACAUGCAUAAGAUACAUAAGAAGCACUUUAGAAACUUUUUUUUUUUUUUUUGGCUGUACCCACAGCAUGUGGAAAUUCCCAGGCCAGAAGCCAAACCCGAGCCACAGCAGUGACAACCCCGAAUCCUUAACCACUAGGCUACCAGGGGACUCUUACUUUGGAAGCAUUUUUAAAAGCCCUCUUUCAGGCUUCACUCUUAGAGGUAUUAUUAAAACUGAUAGCCUCCAAACCAAAUAUGGAGAAAUAUAGCCUAACCCAGUUUUCUAGCUUUACAACUGAGAAAACUGAAACCAGAGAGCUAAUUUCCCUAGGACCCAGGUAGUGAAUAAUAACAGCAGACCUAGCACUCCUUCCGAGCAGCUGUGUUUCCAGAUGUUUUACACAUGUAGUAGUAGUUCCUUUAAUCCUCACAACUCGAUAAGACAAAUACAGGUAUUAUCUCUUUUUACGGAUGAGGAAACCAAGGCACAGAGAGGUGAACUAAGUUGCCCAAGGUCACAGUGAGACAUCACCAAGUCUAGCCUUUGAACCCAGACUUUUUGACUACAGAGCCUGCCAUAAUCACUACCCCACCAGGCAAAUGUGGCUCAGAACACAGGUGGUCUGACUCCUGGGCCGGGGCACUUCCAGCACACAGCACUGCCUUGAUGGCUGUGAUUCUCAGGUCACGACCUGGGGCUUCUUCCAUGGGUCACGGAGAGCUCCAGGGGUUUUUCCUUUUGGGAAGAGCUGGCUUGUUUUGGAGAUUUGCUCACAUCACUUCUCUUCCUCUGCCACAUUCUAUGCAUCUCUUGGCUUACAGCAGCUCAAGAAUCAGAGGAGCUCAACUUCGGAGCUACCGUUGAGGAGCUGAGUGUGGGCUGAUGAUGGGAACUCCCAAAUUAUACUUCCGACUUUGAACUUUUUUUUUUUUUGUGCCUGAUCUCACUGAGAGACUGAACCUCUCAUGGAAGACUUUGGAAAAGUCAGAAGUUCCGGUCAUUUAGAAGAAAGCAUGGGAAGUGCAGUCGACAGAAAUAAGCUCCAAAGCAGAAGGGCCUGACUACGGGCUCAAGGGCCCCCAUCUGCACGAGAGAAUAACCUUCAUGAGACAUUUCUUUUCAUGACUCUGCUGUUUGGAAUCGCUGGCAGGCUGUAACCUCAAUUAAGCCAAGCUUUUUAUUUCUGAAUCCCUGGGCCCUAUGCACUAUCCUCAGUGGCAAGGAUGUUAGGAUUUCUGAAGAUUCCAACAUAGAACAGCUCCACACAGUCGCUAGAACAGCAGAAGGUAGUGACAGGUGACUGAGCAGCGAAAUGCUAUGUGUGCAGCCAGAGGGAGAACCGCCCAGAGGCCUCACCCUCAGCUGGACACAGGCAGCACCUGGAGGGCACCAUUUGUUUUACCUCAAAGUUCUGGGAUAGAGGUGACCUUAAUAAAGUCUGUUUGUGGAGUUCCUGUCAUGGCUCAGCGGAAAGAAAUCUGACUAGGAUCCAUGAGGACGCAGGUUCACUCCCUGGCCUCGCUCAAUGGGUUAAGGAUCCGGCGUUGCCAUGAGCUGGGUGUAGGCCACAGAUACAGCUUGGAGCUGGCAUGGCUGUGGCUGUGGCGUUGGCCGGCAGCUAUAGCUCCAAUUCUACCCCUAGCCUGGGAACCUCCAUAUGCUGUGGGGGCGCCACUAAAAAGACCAAAAAAAAAAAAAAAAAGU